rnacentral:tRNA from 1 species
UGGCCGAGUGGUUAAGGCGAUGGACUGCUAAUCCGUUGGGGUUUCCGCGUGAGUUCGAAUCUCAU